AGAGUCCACAUAUGUUCGGGGGAGGGACCCCAGAAGGCGGCUGACAGUAUUCCUUUAGCCAGAAAUCCCUUCAGGGAAGAGAAAGGUGCUCCCCUUUGCCUGCUUUUAUACUACAGACUGUUUCCAACUCCAGCUAGAAGUGACUAUUGCCGAUUAUGCUAAUCAGUGGCGACAAGCUCCCUUUGACUGCUCACUUCUCCAGUGAGGCUUCAAGCUUCUAGGCAUCAAGAUUAUAUUUUCCAGAAAAUAUUUCAAGCAGAAUAUACUUAUUUUCCAGUUUUGAAAACAACUAGAUUGCCCAUCUCCAUUUCUCUCUAUCAUCUACUGUAUUAUUCUAUGGACAACUGCCACCCUAAUAAGCUCAAAGGAAACCAUGAGAGACUGUCUAACUAGACUUUUUGCUUGAUUUCCUGGACCCAAGAGCAGGAGUGAGGAGCUUUCUCCUGGUCAAGAAGGGAAGCCAGAAGUCAAGGCCACAGAAGACACAGGAAACAUCAUUUCCAAAGUGGGAGACAAAGCUGUUAACAGGAAAUUAUUUGUAAAGUCAAGAGCCAAGCAAAACAGAAAAAGGACAAGAAAUCUAUCACCUGUGGGUAUGAAUGGUUCUAGGGAAGUCUGUUGACAAUUGGAGGGUCUCAAAGGCGCUUUAUGGUACUUAUUUUAUGACCCUGAGUCUGGAGUCUGAUGAAUUAAAGAGGAAAUUCUGCUCUGGGCAACAUUUAAGAGAUAGUAUCUCCAGGCAGUAACUUUCGUAUUAACUCUCAUAAGAUUGAUGCCAUUCUGUCAUCUAAAGUGUGGACAAAAGUAGCAUUAAAGCAAAAUGAAAGGA
rnacentral:lncRNA from 1 species